UGAGGAAUAUUGGACAAUGGGUGAGAGCCUGAUCCAGCCAUCCCGCGUGAAGGACGACGGCCCUAUGGGUUGUAAACUUCUUUUGUAUAGGGAUAAACCUACCCUCGUGAGGGUAGCUGAAGGUACUAUACGAAUAAGCACCGGCUAACUCCGUGCCAGCAGCCGCGGUAAUACGGAGGGUGCAAGCGUUAUCCGGAUUUAUUGGGUUUAAAGGGUCCGUAGGCGGAUGUGUAAGUCAGUGGUGAAAUCUCACAGCUUAACUGUGAAACUGCCAUUGAUACUGCAUGUCUUGAGUGUUGUUGAAGUAGCUGGAAUAAGUAGUGUAGCGGUGAAAUGCAUAGAUAUUACUUAGAACACCAAUUGCGAAGGCAGGUUACUAAGCAACAACUGACGCUGAUGGACGAAAGCGUGGGGAGCGAACAGGAUUAGAUACCCUGGUAGUCCACGCCGUAAACGAUGCUAACUCGUUUUUGGGCUUUCGGGUUCAGAGACUAAGCGAAAGUGAUAAGUAGCCACCUGGGGAGUACGUCUCAAGAAUG
rnacentral:rRNA from 1 species